GAUGAACGCUGGCGGCGUGCCUAAUACAUGCAAGUCGAGCGAACGGACGAGAAGCUUGCUUCUCUGAUGUUAGCGGCGGACGGGUGAGUAACACGUGGAUAACCUACCUAUAAGACUGGGAUAACUUCGGGAAACCGGAGCUAAUACCGGAUGAUAUUUUGAACCGCAUGGUUCAAAAGUGAAAGACGGUCUUGCUGUCACUUAUAGAUGGAUCCGCGCUGCAUUAGCUAGUUGGUAAGGUAACGGCUUACCAAGGCAACGAUGCAUAGCCGACCUGAGAGGGUGAUCGGCCACACUGGAACUGAGACACGGUCCAGACCCCUACGGGAGGCAGCAGUAGGGAAUCUUCCGCAAUGGGCGAAAGCCUGACGGAGCAACGCCGCGUGAGUGAUGAAGGUCUACGGAUCGUAAAACUCUGUUAUUAGGGAAGAACAUAUGUGUAAGUAACUGUGCACAUCUUGACGGUACCUAAUCAGAAAGCCACGGCUAACUACGUG
rnacentral:rRNA from 1 species